rnacentral:rRNA from 1 species
GAGUUUGAUCAUGGCUCAGAACGAACGCUGGCGGCAGGCCUAACACAUGCAAGUCGAACGCCGUAGCAAUACGGAGUGGCAGACGGGUGAGUAACACGUGGGAACCUUCCCAAUGGUACGGAAUAGCUCAGGGAAACUUGAGGUAAUACCGUAUAUUCCCGAGAGGGGAAAGAUUUAUCGCCAUUGGAUGGGCCCGCGUCGGAUUAGCUAGUUGGUGAGGUAAUGGCUCACCAAGGCGACGAUCCGUAGCUGGUCUGAGAGGACGAUCAGCCACACUGGGACUGAGACACGGCCCAGACUCCUACGGGAGGCAGCAGUGGGGAAUAUUGGACAAUGGGCGAAAGCCUGAUCCAGCCAUGCCGCGUGAGUGAUGAAGGCCUUAGGGUUGUAAUGCUCUUUUGGCGAGGAAGAUAGUGACGGUACCCGCAGAAUAAGCCCCGGCUAACUUCGUGCCAGCAGCCGCGGUAAUACGAAGGGGGCUAGCGUUGUUCGGAAUUACUGGGCGUAAAGCGCACGUAGGCGGAUUGACAAGUCAGAGGUGAAAUCCCGGGGCUCAACCUCGGAAUUGCCUUUGAUACUGUCAGUCUAGAGUCCGGAAGAGGUGAGUGGAAUUCCUAGUGUAGAGGUGAAAUUCGCAGAUAUUAGGAAGAACACCAGUGGCGAAGGC